rnacentral:rRNA from 1 species
GACGAACGCUGGCGGCGCGCCUAACACAUGCAAGUCGAACGGAGUUGUUGGAACUGAAGUUUUCGGAUGGAUGUACUGACAACUUAGUGGCGAACGGGUGAGUAACGCGUGGGUAACCUGCCUUUUAGAGGGGGACAACAGUUGGAAACGACUGCUAAUACCGCAUAAGAUAUAACUGUCGAGGUUAUAUUGAAAGGAGCCUUUAAAGCUUUGCUAAAAGAUGGGCCUGCGGCGUAUUAACUAGUUGGUGAGGUAAUGGCUCACCAAGGUAACGAUGCGUAGCCGGACUGAGAGGUUGAACGGCCACACUGGGACUGAGACACGGCCCAGACUCCUACGGGAGACAGCAG